ACGAGUAAAAAAUUGAAAAGGGUUGUAGCUGGCCACAAACCAAACCAAAAACAAUAAAUAAACCCAAGGCAUGUGCACACCCUGCUCAAUCCACUCUCAUACCCCUGUGCACUUAUUGUAGGCUCGGUGGCAUGGCGCUCACGCGUCAGUAAGCCUCGCCUACGUUUAUAUUACAAACUCAGUCAAAGAAUGUAACCUCGCGUUUGACGCAAUAAAUA
rnacentral:misc_RNA from 1 species